GGAUGCCCUCCGUCGUCACCCCUUAUAACCUGUUACCCGCGUUCGGACUAGGUCGGUACGGCGCACUCACUACUUCCAGAAUCCCAACAUUUCGAGAAAACAGUCCCUGCUACUACUGCCAUGG
rnacentral:rRNA from 1 species